CAUGCUUUGUAGGACUAGUACAAUGACCAUUUUAUUGUACCAUUAAAACAUGCAUCACUUACCUCACUUGACAAAGGGUGUAAAUGGACAUAUCCUUUGAGCCACUGCAUCAAAGCGACAUUGUCAGAGCAUAGUGUCUAUCUUCAAGUAAAUUAUAAUGUAACUGGCUUACUUAGGCAUACCUGAAGUUGCUUUGAUAUUUCCUUACAGUACUCCAAAUAUUCCUUGUCACUCGCAUAAUCACUAAGAGUUUGGUGGUAAUUAUUCCAAUCCAGAUACUCAAAAGGCUGCAUGAAAAUAUAAGGGCAAAAAUAAGGCAACUGUUUAAUUUUGUAAAUGAGUUAUAGAAUUCCAUUCAAGAGUGUGGGCAUGAAGUUAAUAAUAAACAUAUCAAAUGACUGGUUGGUAGACACAUCAGGACUGGCGCAACAAUUUAGCAAGAAAAGACAGUCAGAUGGAAAAAAUAUCAAGAUGCUAUCAUGGUGAAUUGAGAAAUCCAAAUGCAAAAGAAACAUAAAAAAAGGUAAGAGCACAGUAUCUAUAAUUGGCUUUGGCUGUCAUCAUAAAGGUAGCUAACCAUAACAAACAUCACUCAAUGGCUUUGUGGAAAUAUGAACUUCAAAAGGAAAAGGAAAAUAAAAAUGACAUCCAACAGUUCGACCAAGACUCAGCCAAACUUUUUUAUCUUUCAUCCAACAGUUUAAGAUAAAUUCAGUCUGGAAAUAAAAAAAAAACUUUCUGAUUUAUUUUGAAAAGUAUUUCCAUAAUCUCAU
rnacentral:lncRNA from 1 species